CCUACGGGUGGCAGCAGUGGGGAAUAUUGGGCAAUGGGCGCAAGCCUGACCCAGCAACGCCGCGUGAAGGAAGAAGGCGUUCGGGUUGUAAACUUCUUGUCGCAGGGACGAAGAAAGUGACGGUACCGGAGGAAUAAGCCACGGCUAACUACGUGCCAGCAGCCGCGGUAAUACGUAGGUGGCAAGCGUUAUCCGGAUUUAUUGGGUGUAAAGGGCGUGUAGGCGGGACUGCAAGUCAGAUGGGAAAACCACGGGCUCAACCUGUGGCCUGCCUUUGAAACUGUAGUUCUUGAGUACUGGAGAGGCAGACGGAAUUCCUAGUGUAGCGGUGAAAUGCGUAGAUAUUAGGAGGAACACCAGUGGCGAAGGCGGCUUACUGGACUGUACCUGACGUUGAGGCUCGAAAGCGUGGGGAGCAAACAGGAUUAGAUCCCCCAGUAGUC
rnacentral:rRNA from 1 species